ensembl:lncRNA
CCGAGAUUUAAUUAAAACACAGAGGUUGAAUCCAAACCAAACCAAACCAAUGCCUAAUUAUCACAAGUGUUAAUUACAAGCCUUGCUUUAACUGAAUGACUAAUAGAACAGAAUGGCAAACGCCUUCCCAACAGCAAACAGAUUUACUGACAAAUGAAGCAGAAUGCAAAUUGAGGGCAUCUUCUAGCCUUUGAAAUCCUGUUUUACCUCUGCUGUGAAUAAUAAGUGGGAAUUGUUUUAGCCCAUGUUGGUGAUUGUUUAUCACGAAAUUCUGCUUUCUCUUUGAGGCAAUGAAAAAUAGAAAAUGAAAAUAAGGGAUUUGACAUGAAACAUGGUAUAAAAUUUUGGAUCAUCCAGGAAAAUUUACACUAAUCUACCAACAAGUAAAUCCAAGCGCAGAAGAUCCCAAAGGAUAGCUAUGACACUUACUUGCGAAAGUGUGAAGGAAGAAGACUGCUUAGAGAUGGAACAGGAUUUUGGUUUCUGAGCUCAUACUGAUGUCUUGUGAAAUGGAGGGCACCCAUACUUCGUUCUGUCUUCAGGAAACUCCUGCAUCUACAGAUAAAGGUAGCAUCCCUUCUCUAUAUCUGCUUGCUGAAUCUCUGCUGGAGAGAACUGCCACAGGAGGCAUGUAUGUGUACUGGGAUAUUAUGCAACGGCUGGUUUUGAGGGGAUGGGUCUACCCAAUUCAUUUCUGUGGAAACCAAGGAUGCAUUGGUGUUUAUGGACUAUGGCCAGGAAAGAAACAGGAUCCAGAAAAUACUUCUUUUUAAGGCAGAAUCCUACUCUUGGGGGAAAAAAGUCACUGAAAACUGGAAAAACAGAAGAUUUCAACCAUCUCAUUACAUUCCAGUUUGUGUUUACAGAAAACAUAUCUAAAUUCUAUAUUUUUAUAUGAUUUUUUUAUUUUGUUCCCUUAGAAGUAGCUCCUGAGUAUAACCAUUUUACAACUGCUGUAUAAAACUUAUUAUCACUUGAUAAAGAAAAAAUGGGAUGGGUUAGUGUACAAAAGGAGAUGAGAAAAAGUAAGAGGGCUAAUGAAGAGAUUUGGAGGGGACAGCAAAGUUAAUGUGUUGGAAGAAGCCAAAUGGAUAGGAGGAUUACUAUUAAAUUCCUACCACUGUUACAUUAUCCCAUUCUACUUCAAUGCCUUUAUUUGGCAAAUGGAGAGAGUGAUAUGUUUUUGCAAAGCUAAAAAAAUAGUGUCAAUUUAGUGCACAGACAGCUCAUCUUCAAUGACAGUCAUCAAAGGGAAAGUAUGAAAAAUUGAAGUUUUUAGGGAUUUAGAUGCUGCUGAUAGGUCUAAUGCUAUCAAACCGUUCAUGAUUUGGAAGUAAAUAGGAAAAAUCUUUCUUUUAGAGUGACUGAAUGCGUGUGAGUGACAGUGAUUCUGUUUUUUUGCAUAGUGGGGAAAAAUACCCAAAUUCUGAACACUUAGCAAAACACAGGUCUUGUUUCCAGUCAGCCCUAUUUAUAAUAAUAGAUCUUCAAGAGCUGAAUCUUAUCAGAGCAAGAUAAAGGUGACUUCACUGCAGUGAAUAAGUACCUCCACAAGGAGAAAAUGAAGGUACUAAAGAACUCUUUAACCAAUCUGAGAAAAGCCUGAGAAGAAUCAAUUGCUGGAAACUGAAGCCAAAUUAAUUCAGAUGAAUUGUAAUUUUUUAACUGUCAGAAUGAUUAAAUAUUGGAAUAUUCCCCGGGACAGACAGAUUCUCCAUUUUCCAAGAAUUUUCAGACCAAGGUAAGAGAAUUUCUGUUGAGUACAAGUUCUUU